UUGUGUUGACUGCUACCUUUCCCCCCUGAUAUUUGAGGUUGUUGUGAGAAUAGCAAUCUGCCAGGAUUGCAGCUUUUGGCGCACUUUUAGAGCCUUAUUAUUUUAACUAGUUCCUGGAAGUAUUUCCAUGUUUGUAGUAACCACAGUGACCAGAUUAACAGACACCAUGGGUGAGCGAUGAGAGACAUGUAUACAGUGAGAACACUCAGUUCCAUAAACUUUGUGUUGCUUCGUGCUUCGUGCUUCGUGCUUCAUGUUGAUUCAUGAUUUAUCUGUAUAGAAACGAAGAGAGUAAACUAUGGAAAACAGCUUUUGUUAGUUAUACACACUAGGACAUAAAACGAACCUCGACCGGCUUGGUCUUAUACUCACUAUAACUAUAUGACCUUAAUAAAGGUCAGGGUAAAGGCCAGACCAUUAUAAUGGCGCCCAACGUGAUUUAUUGUGAAAAGUGUGUUUUUCAUAUGGAUUAGAUGAGUGAAAUUUGUGUGGACUACAGAUCAACUGCCACUGUUGGAAACAUAACUAUAGUUUUAAACCUGCAGAUAUCAGGAUUUAACCAAUACACAAUUUGACAAACAUGCCAUGCAUGGAAUUUAAAUUUGGAUUUAAAUGUUAAUGGAUCUAUUGGACAUUCGUUUGCACAAAACCGUUUAGACGUUAGGGAUUGGAAGAAUCCCGUUUAACACGUCU